UACGGAGAGUGCAAGCGUUGUUCGGAAUUAUUGGGCGUAAAGCGCGUGUAGGCGGUCCAACAAGUCUGGCGUGAAAGCCUUGAGCUCAACUCAAGAAGUGCGCUGGAAACUGUCGGACUUGAGUACUGGAGGGGGAGGUGGAAAUUCUCGAGUGUAGAGGUGAAAUUCGUAGAUAUUCGGAAGAACAUCAGUGGCGAAGGGCGACCUCCUGGACAGAUACUGACGCUGAGACGCGAAAGCGUGGGUAGCAAAGAGG
rnacentral:rRNA from 1 species